rnacentral:tRNA from 1 species
UUCCCUGUAUCUCAGACGGUAAAGAAUCUGCCUGCAAUGCAGGAGACCCGGGUUCGAUUCCUGGGUCGGAAA